GUAACACCCCGUUUACGACGAAUUUACAACGAAUACUGCCCUAGUAAAAAAUAUGUUUUCUUGUAGUGUCAUAGAGAAGACGAGAUCUUUACUUUCGGGAAGGAGUCGAUAUGCAUCGCUUACUUUCUCUCUCUCUCUCUCAAACACGAGAUAUGCUCAAAUCUCGGAAAAUAAUUUUAAAAAAAUUAAUGAAAAAUUAAUAUCAGUCGUUGAUUCAUUAUCAUCCAAGGGUGCAAAAUGAUGAUCCAUGCCAAACCAAUAGAAAAAAAAGGUGAGGAUAGAUAAAAGAUUGAUUUUGGGCCUUUGAUUCUGAAUCAAUGAAUGGCUCAAACGAAAAACAGAAUAAAAUUGUCUUUUGUGUAUGUAUAAUUAUUAUAAAAUUAUUGAAAGUUUGAAAUUUAUAUUAUGUAUGUGGAAAAUUUAUGUAUAUAUGAUAUUAAAUGUUUGAAAAUAGUAUUCGGGGUUAAGAUGAAUAGUGUUAAAAUUAAGAUUUAAGUUUAAAGAUAAAUGGUUUAAAAUGUUGAAUGGUUCAAUAUCUAGAAGAUUAACUAAAACUUUUAUUUCAUUAAGAAAUUAAGUUAUACAUUUAAAUUUAUAAAAAUAAUGAUAUAAGAUUAAUAACAUUAUUAGCUUUCACUUUGUAGAUAAAUUUUAAAUUAAGUAAAAGUAAUGAUGUAAGAAUAAUAAAAUUAAGUGAGUUUAGGGUUUGGAACAUAGUGUUUUGGGUUUAGAUUUAGAGUUGUGUAUAUGGUUUGAGUUUUAGAAUAGACUUGGAGUUUAAGUUUAAAAAUUAUAUUAUAAGUUUGAAAAGAUUAGAUUUAUGACUUAGUAUGUAGGGUUUAAGUUUGGGGUUUAAAGUAUUAGAUUUAGGGUAUAGAUUUAAAAUUUAGUGUUUGAGGUUUAAAAUAGAAAUUUGAGAUUAAAUUUAUAGAUUAUUAAAUUUUGUGUUUAAGUUUAAGAUUAAAGUUUUUAAAAUUUAUGUUUACGGGUUUAAACCCUAUAAUUGUGUGUAUAUAUAUAUAUAUAUAUAUAUAUCAUUCUUUUAGGGUUUGAGAUUUAUAGGGGUGUCAAAAUGGGUUGAAAUUAAUGGGUUGACCCAAACCAAACCAAUCCAUGGUUCUAAUGGGUUAACGAUUUGGAUGUUAAUGGAUAAAUGGUUUUUAUGGGUUAAUGAGUUUAGUGAGUUGGAUUAAUGUUGGUUUAGAUCAAAAUGGGUUUAUGGAUUAUCCAAUCCAACCCACUUUUUCUCACAUAAUUUUUUAGUAUCUCUCCUCUUCGUCUUUCUCUCUUUUUUCUUCUCUCACGAGACUUGAUCUCUCUUUCUCGAUCUCACGAGACCAUCAUCGAUCACGACAUCGAUCAAUCCUUUUGGGUCAUUGCUUUUGGGUUAUCGAUCACAACACAUCAACUCAUCUUCCGAUUUGACCUUAUGGUUCACUGAUUUUGGGUGAAUCAAACUCUAUUUUUCUUCAAUUUGAUCUUGUGGGUCACUGAUUUUGCUGAUUUGGGAUCGAUUUUGAAGUGAAUUUUUCUGGGUUUGAAAGUGACCUUUGUCCUUCUUGAGUAAUGAUUGAAGCUAUUCAUGUUUAGUAUCCGACUGUUGCCUAGUAAUGUCCAAGAUCUAUUGUGUACUCGGUCUUGGAUAUAUGGUUAUAUGCUUGAUGAUGAAGAUGAUAAUGGCGAAGGUGAGACUGUUGUAAUUAGAUCGAGGCCAACUGAUGUUGAAGACGUGAUCACGCAUCCACCAGAAUAAGUCUCAUUUAUUGUUCUUGAUCUCUAACAGGUUUACCUCGAGCUCCCCAAUGGUAAAGAAUUAGCUUAAGCACUCUACUCUAAGCAAUCAGUCUUUGCGAGUACAGACAAACCAACUGAGCCAGUGGACAUCACAAUCCCGCAAGUGUCUGAACUUUGCUAAGGACCGUUCGUUUGUGCUUAUUUCAUUAUGGUCAUAUGUUUGUGCUUAUUUCAAAACUUGUUGUUUCGUAGAACCUUUCAUUUAAAGAGUUUUGGAUUAUGUUGCAGUAUUAUUAAUAAACUAAGAGUUUUGAUUUUUGGAGUUUGAAUUAUUGUAUUAAAUAUAUUUUGUUCAAUAUUUUGAUGAGUUAUAUUAUAUAAUUUGUUAA